rnacentral:rRNA from 1 species
GUCCAUGCCGUAAACGUUGGGCACUAGGUGUGGGGGACAUUCCACGUUUUCCGCGCCGUAGCUAACGCAUUAAGUGCCCCGCCUGGGGAGUACGGCCGCAAGGCUAAAACUCAAAGGAAUUGACGGGGGCCCGCACAAGCGGCGGAGCAUGCGGAUUAAUUCGAUGCAACGCGAAGAACCUUACCAAGGCUUGACAUGUGCCAGACCGCUUCAGAGAUGGAGUUUCCCUUCGGGGCUGGUUCACAGGUGGUGCAUGGUUGUCGU